rnacentral:lncRNA from 1 species
UAUGCCCGAGACAACCAUCAGGAUCGUAAACGUGCAACAGCUUUAUACCAGGUGAAUGUGUGAGCAAACAGAUCAGAGGUUCUACCUGCCAGGUGGCUCUCCAGGUGUGUCCUGUGAUUCCCCACGCUCGCCUGCAGGCUGCACUGUUGCCGUGGUUAUCUCCCAGGCUACCACAGCAGGCAAUUCAAACAGGUUGUGUCAACACUGCAGGUAGACACUGAAUCCGCACCAGCCAAGGCUGAAAACGGUUGCAGCCGUGAGAACUGUGGACUCUGAGAAGCAAGGAAAGGAGCCCACUCAGAGCUCCAAGAGUGCGCAUGCGUGGAGGACCACCUACUGAAGCAUGGCUAUCUUUCACGGACACAUUCCUGAAGAAAGCCAUCCUUUACCAGGAGUUUCUCACCUAGUGGAGUUUUCUGGUCAUCUCUGGACUUCAGGCUGGGAUUUGUGUUGGGCUCCAUCUUGCCCGAGUCUUGUGCCUGUAGUCACAGAUGCGCUCAGUUCCUAUGUGUAACUGCUCUCCUGUCUCUGGAAACCACUGUUUGGCUAUUGUCAUCCCAUGGCUCCUACAAUUUUUUCUACUCCCUCUUCCUUGAUCAUCUGUUGUUUAACUUGCUGAGCCUUUGGAGGAAAGGCUGUGAUAUAGAUAUUUGAAGUCUCGUAGGCUCUGCACCCUGACCAGAUGUGAAUCUCUGUACUAACUGGCACCUAUUGCUCCGGAAGACGCUUCAUCUAUGAAAGUAGAUGUAUGGGCAUAAUGAUCUCAGUAAAAAGCAGUUAGAGCCUUGGGAGCCUAGUGCUCACUUUAUGAUUAUUUUACUCCAAGGAAACCUAGCUGUGUGGAUGCAUCCGACAGUUCUCUUGCUGACCAGGGAAGGUUGGGACAGAUCAGAGGCUAGGAGCACAGAGACCCUGAAGCGGGAGCCUCCCAGUCAACAGCCCAAGAGUAGGAGUUUAAAUGGUGGCAACCAGGGGAGAGACAGUUGCAGAGUCCCCAACCCCUGGGCUCUGCACUUUGCUUCCAUCUUGCACGCCUCCGUUUUCCUUUGCACUACUUUCCCCCUAAAACCUCAUUUCCUUUUUCAACGCCCACAGUGGGGCAGUGUGCAAAGAAUAAAAAUAUGUCUCCUUUGCUACAAACGGGAAUACAGACCCUGUUGGAGUGGCACCUUGGCCCAAUGGCCCUUUGUUCUGCUUCUUAAUGACUAAUUAUCAUGCUAUGAAGUGCUUAUGCAACCGUCAUGGAGUUGCCGCCCUCCUGCUGGAGAGGCUGGACGUGUGUAAUCCUCAGAAGCCAUGACUGGCUCUUGGAGUUGUGCAAGGAGUAAUUACCGAAUCCAGCCGAGGCUUGCUUCUUAUUACAGGCUCCAGGCCUUACCCCCACUAGCUUUACAUGCUCGUUAAUAUUUAAACUGCCAAGCAGCAGCAGAAUAUUUUGUAAGCUUCAGGAAUGGCCCCAGGACUCAGUGCCGGCCUAGGACCCAGGACAGGCCGGUUAGGAGAGGGCAAGAGAUCACGUUCAGGUGGGAUUUCUUUGGGGACGUUUGUCCUUUUACAAAUGUCGGCCCUGGAAGGGCUCUAACUUCCCUCCCUUAGCUAGAGAAAAGAAAUUAAACAUCGCCAGUCUUGCAGAUGCUGGUGCCAGGCCAAGGAAAGGACCAGGAACGAGGUUCUCCACACAUCCUCCAUCCGUGCGUUCCAGGGCUCGUGGGUUUGCUUCAGCCAAAACCUCGAACGAGCCACAUCCUUGUGUUCUUGACUGUGAUGAGGUCUUUUAUUGCAUUUAUAAAUGUUCCCCCUGGGGCUAUUACUCAAAAGGGUUCAUCUAAUGAAUAAGACAACUAACAAUUAUUCUGUUUCAGAUUGCGAGCUAUGUGUAACUUCUCCGAGGGGUCAAACGUGUUAUGUUUGCUCAACAUUGCCCCAGCCUUCUGACACGUGUGAUUACAGAGCAGGAGUGCAGACAUGUGGGCAUAUGUAUUUCUGUCUUCAGGCUCCUGAGUGCCCACUGUAAUCUUAAGUUGUAUCAUCUCUGUAGUCCUGAGAAUCGUCUCUUAAAUAAACAAAUGAAGGACGGACUUGAUCUCU